AAGCCAAGGUGCUAGGCCUUUGCAUUGGUCACAUCCCUCAUGUCAUGCCUUGUGCCCUUUUCCUUCAGGGAGGCUGGCGGUGUCUCUGCCCCUGUGGCUCCUGGAGGCAGGUGGCAAUAAGUACUUCUCGAGGAGAAUGAACCUCGAGUAUCUACAGCUGCUCUAUUCCAUUCCCGCCCCUCUCGUUAGGGCUUAAAAAGAGUACGGAGUCCAUGAUGCAGGUGGUUUGAAUGAAAAGCAACCCCCCUUAGCCUGGGUAUUUGAAACCAUGGCUCCCGGUUAGUGGUGCCGUUUGGGGCGCGUUAGGAAGAUGUUGGCAGAUGUACAUCGCUGGGGUGGGCUUUCUCGUUCCCCCUCUCUGCCUUGUGCUGCUCUUGAAACUGCAAGCUCUCAGCUGCCUGCUGCCGCCAUGCAGGUCAUUUGUGGGUAUGCUUCUCUUCUCUGAUGGACUCUUACUUACUUCUUUGGAAUUGUAAGGUGAAUCAAACCCAUCCUUCCUGAAGUGUCCUCCUCGGUCAUAUGAUCCAUCACAGCAUCAGAAAAGUAACAUCUAUGCUGCUGAGUCCCUUCUCUGCCACCCCAUCACUCAAGGCAAGCCCAGGUCCCCAGGCAAUCACACGGCAGCAUUCUUAUCGUGACUCCGGGGAAGCAGCCCCGCCUCCAUGUUGGGUCUGUGCACACAGGCAGCUCUGUUAGGCAGUUAAAGACACACAUGGGAAGAACGAAAAGCACGAGGCAGUGUUUAUGGAAAUCGAGAUGCCCUUGUAAUUAAAGACUGCUCUGCAGGGAGAACCUUUGGAACUUGAGCUCUGUGAGUAAGAAAAAAAAAGCCAGAACCAAAGUCUGGUGACCUAGGGACUCAUCCAGCCCUCACCUCCCUAGCAGGAGGAGGUGGAUGAGGCGAUGUGGUUUUCUCAGGACAACUGCCAUUUGGUUCUGUCUGUGGCUUAAAGGUUAGUGAAGAAGCAGUAACCUGUACUCUGUACUCUGCACAAGUUGUACUCUGGUUUUGUGUUUGGAUCCGGAAUGUUCUUAGGAGAAUUGCAGGUCUUAGUAAUUCUGAGGAGGGCUAGGGAUGGGUGGCAGGGCCUCAUCCAUGCUGGGCCCCUUCACAGAUUCCAUUAACUGCUACAUUUCACAAUAGCUGGCAUUUCAAAAUUAACCAUCGAUGUUGGGAGUCGCCAAGUAAAAGAUUUCUAGACAGACGCUGCUGUUGGCAGCCCCACGGGCACACAGAGGGACGGAGUGUGAGCAGUGUCUCGGAUGAACGCAGGCUCGUCCCAGAGUGGGAUUCCUGUUCACCUGGGGGAUGUAGAACAGGUGAUGGUUUGUCUUGGUCAUCAACUUGACAAGGUCUAAAGCCAACUGGGAGACAGGUCUCUGUUUCGCAGAUUAUGCAGGCUGGGUUAACUGAGGUAGAGAGACUCACCCUAAGCAAGGGCAGUAUCGUUCCACGGGCUGGGGUUCUUUGUUGAAAAAGGAAGACAGCAUGGCCAACACCGACAUUCAUCUUUCUGCUUCCUGAGGGUGGGCACAAGGUGAUCAUCGGCUUCUUGUUCGUCUACCAUAAUGGACUGUACCCUGGAACUGUGAGCUGAAGUAAGCCUCCCUUCUUAAGAUUACUCGUAUCAGGUAUUUUGUCACAGCAACAACAAAAUGUGACCAAUACACAUGCCCACUGAAGAGCACCCGCUCCUGCACCCAAAGGACCAGUAUCACCAGAAAGAAGACCAAGUGCCAGCAAGUGGCUUUCGGACAGGUAGGAUGUGAGAUACAGGAGGCCAGCAUAGAGGAGGAGGGUUAUGCUGGGGUUGAACGUGAGACAGACAGAAGGGAGAAUGAGUCACUGGUUACUCAGAUGGAGCUCUGGCGACAGACUCACCUGGCUGGGCCCAGCUUGCCUUAGGGAGUAGAACAGGUAGAGGUCUGGGUUGGGCAGGACAUGGAGACUUAGCGUCAGGCAACAGAAGUUUGGCUUUUGAUGAUCCCGUGCCCUCAGGAACAGAGUUCCUUCCUGCCUUGCUCCACCUCACAGGUCUCAGCUACCCAUCAUGUUAUCCAGGCUACCAGUAGAGUCAUCUUGACACAUUAGUCUGCCCCCUCCUCAGCCUCUUCAGGCUAGAUGCCUGCUACAUUUUCAAACAUCCCCAACUCAACCACCUUCCCCAGUGGAGCAUCCAUCCUGGCUGAAGAUUCCAUCGUUUCUUUUCUGUUGUGGCCUCCUCGACUGCCCCGACUUCUACAUGCUCCUGGAUGCCGCCAUGACUUUCGGACUCUGCCCUAGACUGAGCAACUUUCCUAAAAUGCUCUAAUAGAUUUCCUCUGUCCUAGGGAUGGAACCCAGCUCCUGACCCAGCUUCCAAUUCUGUAGAUGUCCACUGAGCACCUCCUGAGUAUCAGACACUUGUCCUAGGGAUGGGUGCUUCUGUGCCGGAAGAGACAGAGGACCACUGCCUCCAGCCAACAGGGUGACAGCAAACAAACAAGUUUCCUUAUCCGUAUGAUGUGGUGAGGUCGGAGGGUAAUAGCAUGCAGGCUACGGAAGGUGCUGCAGUGAGCGAGCUCUUGCCUUGCAAGUGUGAGGACCUGAGUUCCAUCCCUAGAACCUGUAUAGAAAACAGUGAUGCACACUUGUGAGGAGCCCAGCGCUAAUGCAGUAGGAAGCAGGACAGGCAGAUGCUCGGAGCUCAUUGCCAGUUAGUCCAGCCCACUUGGCAAAGUUCUAGUUCAAUGAGAGACCCUGUCUGAAAUAAUGAAAAGCUUCCUGAGGAACAACAUCUGAAAUUGCUUUUGACCUCCACACAUGUGUGCAGAUGCACAUGUACACACACACACCAAAAUAAAAAGAAAAAUGAUGAAUAAGGUAGAAGUGGCCAUGAGGGCUAUAUAGUAUGAGGAAACCCUGUAGAAGAUCCAAGUUGUGAAAUCUAUGUUUAGUUGUACAGAGGCCAGCUUGGGCGUGACAUCCACAUCAUAGGACUCUGGAGACUGGGAGUACAUGCUAAUAAGACUGGGGAAGGACAAGAGCUACUGCGGAUGUUACUGUGAUAGUCUUUAGGACUGAAUUGUAUCCCUCCAAAUCUGUAUGCUUGAGCCCUAAUCCCCAUUAGGCCUGUGUUUGUAAAUCGGGACUUUGGAAAGGUCAUUUACUUUAGAUGAAACCUCAGAGCUCUGUCUUCAUCCAAUAGGAUUGGUGUCAUGACAAAAAGGAGAGACACCAUGAGUGACCGGGCAUCCAUGCCACAGCAUAGGAAGACAUGGCCUGAGGACGGCCAUUGGCAAGUCAAGGAGAAGCCAAGCCGGCUGGACAUCUUGAUCUUGGACGUCCAGUCUCAGAAUAGAGAUAGUAAGUGUCUGCAGUUUUAGCCACAUACUGUGGUGCUUUGUUGUGACAUCUCCAGUAGACUGGUCCAGAUGUGCAAUGUUGGAGGGUCCAGAUGGACACAGCCCCCUUUGGAGGUGAUAUCAACAUCAAGCAGGACUCCAUGGAGAUGGCAGCCUGGGAUGCCAGGUAGAUGUGGCAAAUUCCUGCAAGUGUGGGUAAGCCAUGGGGACCUUUUAGGUAGGAACAUGGUCACCAGACUCAGAUGUCAAGACACUGGGGUUUCCUCUCACCCCUUCAUUUCCAUGCCAACUAGGAAGUGGGGGUGGGUAAGGGUGGUCAUUGCCCUAUGACUUCCUCUCUUUGGGGGUUGGGUUCUUUGGGGCCCAUUGUUCCCCUGAACAAAAGGACACUGAUCAUCUGGUUGUUUGUGGCUUCUGGUGCCAGUAGGAGAAGCUGCCUCUCAGUUUUUUCACUCCACCCUGGGGCACCAGAUGCUGCCAGGCCUCUGGGUACAACAGAGCCUACAGAGGAAGGAUGGAGAUUGGACCUGAGCCACAAAAGAGCCAGAAGCUGGAAAGAACCCAGAUGCCCUUCAACAGAG
rnacentral:sRNA from 1 species